GCCGCCUUAGCUCAGACUGGGAGAGCACGCGACUGAAGAUCGCGCUGUCCCCGGUUCAAAUCCGGGAGGCGGCA
rnacentral:tRNA from 1 species